rnacentral:lncRNA from 1 species
GGUUGGGGUGGAGGGGUCCUUUAAGGUCGUAGGGCCGUAGGAUGGUUCAGUUGGAAGAGUCCUUGAAGGGCAUAGAAGCAUGGAAUGGUUGGGCUGGGUUGGAAAGGUCCUUGAAGGUCGUAGGACCAUAGAAUGGUUGGGUUGGAAGGGUCCUUGAAGGGUAUAGAACCACGGAAUGGUUGGGUUGGGUUGGAAAGGUCUUUGAAGGUUGUAGGACUGUAGAAUGGUUGAGUUGGAAGGGUCCUUGAAGAUCAUAGAGCCAUGAAAUGGUUGGGUUGGAAAGGUCCUUGAAGGCCAUAGAACCACAGAAUGGUUGGGCUGGAGGGGCCACAGGUCCUGGUUGGGCCGGAGGCGCUGCAGGUCCUGGUUGGGCAGGAAGGGUUGCAGGUCCUGGUUGGGCCGGAAGGGCUGCAGGUCCUGGUUGGGCAGGAAGGGUCCGCAGGUCCUGGUUGGGCCGGAAGGGCUGCAGGUCCUGGUUG